UAACUAAAAAAAGAUUUUUCGUUACCCGCUCGUUACUCCCUCUUCUUCUCAUCUCCAUGGCACGCCCUAAAUACCCCAAAUUACUUAAUUCUUUUUCCCUUUUAAUCUCAAAAUUCCAUGAGUUCCUUUGCCCCAACAUCUCGUAAUACCGUUCAAAUCGCUAAACCUUUGGUUCGGGGUUUUGUUUCUUUCUGAAUCAGGACAAAAGGGUUUUCCGAUCUAUACCAAAAGACCACAGGGAUUGAUCUAUGGAAUUCUUUUUUCAGCAGUGUAUUUUCUUUUUCCUUUUUCAGUUUUGUUUGAUUUUUUUUACUUAUUUUCUUUCUCUCUCCACUGUUUCGAAGCCAGCUUCUCUUUUGUCGAACGCUUGAAGUAACUCAAAGAAAAACAUCUACAUUUUUCUCUUCAGCAAUGGAGAUUGGGACCGAUCGGAUCGGUUCCUACUCUAAAGAACACCAGAAAAUUUAUCAAGAGUGGUUCAACUUCGCUGAUUCAGGUACGAUUUGUAUGAUUUUUUUACCUAUUUUUUUCAUUGCACAUGGAAAAUUAUGCUAACGUGGACUAGGAUUGAUGUUGUAAAUGGCAAAGGCAGUGGGCUAUUGAUUAGGUUUGUGAGGGUUCAAGGUUUAAACGACGAGAAGGAGUGAGCAUAGUGGUAGUGCUAGAAUUUGGUAAGGAAGGUUGGAGUUAGUGAAGGUUGAGCGAAAUGGUGAUGGGUUUAGUAAUGGGUCAAGCUUUGGAAAAUGAUGGUAAUGUGGGUGUGUUCAUUUCUAUAAGGUAAUGGGUGAAUUUCUAUGGUGAUGGUGAGGGAUGAGGGUUGAAGACGAUUUGGAUGGUAAGGUUAUGAUGAUUUUUUAAGUUUGCAGAGAGUUGAAGAUGAAUGGCUCUUUCUUCUUGUUUUUUUCUAUGAUUUUUUUUGCGUUUUUUGUUUAGAAGGAAAAAGUUAGUUUGUCCCUUAUUUGCAUUGUAGGUAUGUGCUGGUCUGUAUAGUAAAAAUAUGUAAAAAAAAUUAUAAUUAGAUUUUAAAAAUAUAUAAAUAUAAAAAAUAAACUAAAGUUAAAUUAUAAAAUUAUAAAAAAUUUGAAGGUAAUCCAUUGAAAGGGUUUAUUUAUUAAUACAAAUUUAUUCAAUUACAGGAUGGUACUGAAGGAAUAAAUCUCAGAAUUUGUGCUGCUAAUGCUAUAUAUUUUCUUAAUAAUAUUUCAGGAAAUUUUAUAUUUAUUACUUUAAAAUAUUGAUAAUUGAGGAAAUAAACUCUACUGAUUAAUUGUGUUCAUAAUAUUUGGAAUAAAAAAAGUAAUCUGCAUUGCUACAGCAUGCAAUGGUAAGUAGAGUAAUCUGUCCAAAUGGUAAGAAUGCAAGUGAGAGUAUGAAUGUUGUAUGAUUAGGUGGCGGAAUUUGAGUAGACACUUCCAAAGUCUAUCCUAAAGUUUUUCCUUCUUUCCAAUAUUUUAGUGUUUUAUGUUGACAAAUCACAGGUUUACACUCAACAUGCUUAUAUGAGACCUCUUGGAGUUGGUAUGUCUAUGAUUUCUUUAAAAUCUUAUGAAUAUGAUUUUGUUUUAAUGACUUGUAUUUGCAAAGUAGAUUUUUUACAAUAUGUUACAAUCUCUUCUCUUCCUUUUUUUUCUUUAAAAAAAAUCAAUAUAUUUUCAUGUUUCAAAAGAAACGUGAUAGCUUUCCUUCUCCAGGAAAAUGGGAACCUUCUAGUCAAAAAGAAAUGUCAAAUUCUUAGGAUUGAUCUACAGAAUAGUUCUCAGGUCAGCCUUAUAUCCUGGAUUCCAAAAGUGUUAACGUGGAUUUUCUUUCUUGAUGUUAUAAAUAUAUAUGUUAUUCAAUAAUUUUGUAAAGGACCUGGAUUUAUGGUAUAUCUUUCCCUUUCCACUAAUUUCUUCUACUUUAAUUGUUACUAUGAGUGUUGUAUGCAUAUGCUGUUUUUUUUUUCGUCUUUCUUUAAUAGUUAGAUGGAUAAUUCUUACUAUGAGUGUUAUAUCACUUUUGAUACCCUUCUGUAUCAUGAAGUUUGUUAUCUGACAAAAGAGAUGAGAAUUUGGGAGUCGAGUUAUAAUUUAAUUUAUUAAUGAAAUCUUCAGUGCUCAAUUUAGGGAUUUAUUGAUGUUUUGCUUGUAUGAUUUUAUGAAUCUUGUGCACACAAGUUUCUUACCAUACUGCACUUCAUUUUUCAUUAACAUAAUGCAUAAAAUAUUAGGGAGUUCAGAUGUCCAUCCUAUAGUCACCAUUGUGUAUUAAAGUUUAUUGUUUCAGUGUACUAAUGUUAGAGCCAGAAAUUUGCCCACCUGCUUCAUUUUUCCACAAUAAGGUAAUAAUUCAAAAUGUUUCCUUGUUGUGGGAAACUGUUUCCUUGGGUCAAUCUCGUGGCUAUCCUGAAUUCUAAGCUGGUUCCAGUUUAACUACUCUGAAAACACGGAGAGGAGCAACAGCAACAGAACCAAGUAGAUAUUUCUUUCAAUGGCUGGAAUUGCUACUACUUGUUAUUAUUUGACCCUCUCUUCUACAAGGUCUACUGCUGCUGCCAAUAAAUUGGAGCAAGCUGGUUUCCAGAAUAUAGCUGAAGGGAUGAUGAAGAUGAUUCUGUUGCCAAGAUGAAGGCAGCUGAGGAAGCCUUGGAAGCAAAACAAAAAGUAACAAAUAGCUUGUCUGCUACCUGUUUUUUUUUUUUUAUCAUGUUUUAUAAUUUUGUGACAAAUUGUUCUUGGUACUCUUUUUAUGCAAAAUUACCCUAUGAUUCUAUUGUAUUUAUACUGCAUGGCUGCACCAUGUAUUUCUUAACUAGUUUGAUAAAUUUUAUGUGUGGUGUUUAAUUUUUCGUUAUUGUCUGUGUAACUUGCAGCAAAAACCUACAUUUGAGCUA